UGGGGAAUCUUGGACAAUGGGGGCAACCCUGAUCCAGCGAUGCCGCGUGAGUGAAGAAGGCCUUCGGGUCGUAAAGCUCUUUAGGCUGGGAAGAAGGUAGUGGGAGGAAAUGCCUGCUAUUUGACGGUACCAGCAGAAUAAGCACCGGCAAACUCUGUGCCAGCAGCCGCGGUAAUACAGAGGGUGCGAGCGUUAAUCGGAGUUACUGGGCGUAAAGGGCGCGUAGGCGGUUUAGUGAGUGUGAUGUGAAAGCCCCGGGCUUAACCUGGGAAGUGCAUCGCAUACUGCUAGACUAGAGUAGAUGAGAGGGUGAUGGAAUUUCCGGUGUAGCGGUGAAAUGCGUAGAGAUCGGAAGGAACGUCGAUGGCGAAGGCAGUCACCUGGCAUCAUACUGACGCUGAGGCGCGAAAGCGUGGGGAGCAAACA
rnacentral:rRNA from 1 species